rnacentral:rRNA from 1 species
CCCUUAGAUGUUCUGGGCCGCACGCGUGCUACACUGAGUGGAUCAGCGGGUCAGGUUGCGCGAAAGUGUUUCCUAAUCUUGAAAUCCGCUCGUGAUGGGGAUUGACGGUUGCAAUUUUCCGUCAUGAACGAGGAAUACCUUGUAAGCGCGGGUCAUCAUCCCGCGCUGAAUACGUCCCUGCCCUUUGUACACACCGCCCGUCGCUCCUACCGAUUGAGUGGUCCGGUGAGGCUUUGGGAUCUAAGCGAAAAGAGCGUUUCGCUCCUUUUGCUGGGAGAACUCAGUCGAACCUUAUCAUUUAGAGGAAGGAGAAGUCGUAACA